rnacentral:rRNA from 1 species
GACGAACGCUGGCGGCGUGCUUAACACAUGCAAGUCGAACGGUAAGGCCCUUCGGGGUACACGAGUGGCGAACGGGUGAGUAACACGUGGGUGAUCUGCCCUGCACUUCGGGAUAAGCCUGGGAAACUGGGUCUAAUACCGGAUAGGACCACUGCCUGCAUGGGUGGUGGUGGAAAGCUUUUGCGGCGUGGGAUGGGCCCGCGGCCUAUCAGCUUGUUGGUGGGGUGAUGGCCUACCAAGGCGACGACGGGUAGCCGGCCUGAGAGGGUGACCGGCCACACUGGGACUGAGAUACAGCCCAGACUCCUACGGGAGGCAGCAGUGGGGAAUAUUGCACAAUGGGCGCAAGCCUGAUGCAGCGACGCCGCGUGAGGGAUGACGGCCUUCGGGUUGUAAACCUCUUUCAGCACCGACGAAGCGCAAGUGACGGUAGGUGUAGAAGAAGGACCGGCCAACUACGUGCCAGCCGCCGCGGUAA